rnacentral:rRNA from 1 species
CAGCCGCCGCGGUAAUACGUAGGGGGCGAGCGUUGUCCGGAAUUAUUGGGCGUAAAGCGCGCGCAGGCGGUCCCUUAAGUCUGAUGUGAAAGCCCACGGCUCAACCGUGGAGGGUCAUUGGAAACUGGGGGACUUGAGUGCAGAAGAGGAGAGCGGAAUUCCACGUGUAGCGGUGAAAUGCGUAGAGAUGUGGAGGAACACCAGUGGCGAAGGCGGCUCUCUGGUCUGUAACUGACGCUGAGGCGCGAAAGCGUGGGGAGCAAACAGGAUUAGAUACCCUGGUAGUCCACGCCGUAAACGAUGAGUGCUAAGUGUUAGAGGGGUUAAACCCUUUAGUGCUGGAGCUAACGCGUUAAGCACUCCGCCUGGGGAGUACGGCCGCAAGGCUGAAACUUAAAGGAAUUGGCGGG